UACACACCGCCCGUCGCUACUACCGAUUGAAUGGUUAUAGUGAGCAUAUGGGAUCAGUAGAAUUAGACUGGCAACAGUCUUUCUCUGCAGAGAACUAUGGCAAACUAGGCUAUUUAGAGGAAGUAAAAGUCGUAACAAGGUUUCCGUAGGUGAACCUGCGGAAGGAUCAUUA
rnacentral:rRNA from 1 species